AUUGAACGCUGGCGGCAUGCCUUACACAUGCAAGUCGAACGGCAGCACGGGAGCAAUCCUGGUGGCGAGUGGCGAACGGGUGAGUAAUAUAUCGGAACGUGCCCGGUCGUGGGGAUAACGUAGCGAAAGCUACGCUAAUACCGCAUACGAUCUACGGAUGAAAGCGGGGGAUCGCAAGACCUCGCGCGAUUGGAGCGGCCGAUAUCAGAUUAGGUAGUUGGUGAGGUAAAGGCUCACCAAGCCGACGAUCUGCAGCUGGUCUGAGAGGACGACCAGCCACACUGGGACUGAGACACGGCCCAGACUCCUACGGGAGGCAGCAGUGGGGAAUUUUGGACAAUGGGCGCAAGCCUGAUCCAGCAAUGCCGCGUGCAGGAUGAAGGCCUUCGGGUUGUAAACUGCUUUGUACGGAACGAAACGGUGAGCUCUAAUACAGUUUGCUAAUGACGGUACCGUAAGAAUAAGCACCGGCUAACUACGUG
rnacentral:rRNA from 1 species